rnacentral:lncRNA from 1 species
GGAGUUCUUGAUUUCUAGAUCUGAAAAGUUAGUUAUGGUGGUUAUGAUUAGGGUUUGAGCUUUUAUAUCACAUGCUAAUGAUGCUGCUAAUCACACUUUCCAUUUGUUAAUCAUGAUUAAGGAGUUUUGGAGCAAUUUGCAAAAAUGAAAAAUUGGCUAGCAUGGCCAUACUACACGCGCAAUCUCCCAUGUUGAGCUUCUAAUUCACACAAAAUCAUCCAAUGGUCAUGCUUGAAGUGCUUGUUUGCUUGUAGCUUAAGCCAAAAAUGAGUUGUGAAUAUUUU